rnacentral:lncRNA from 15 species
AAAGUUUGUCUGGAAGCUGCUGACGGGGUCAACAGAGGCUGAACUCUGAGGAGAUAUGGAAGUUGUGAUUGGACUGUUGCUGAUGCUACUCGGAGUCUCUCAUGGUUUGGAAACCUACUGUGAUGGCAGAAAGAAUAAUGGAACUCAGUGUUAUGGAGCUUUGGGAGGAACUGUUGUCCUCCAGCUGAUGGACAGUGCCUCAGAAAUAUUUAGAUACGAAUUCAAAAACAAAGCAACAUCAGUACUCAGAGGGGGUAAGAACAGGGCAAUGUUUAUUCCGAUGGCAAACAGAUCUUCAUUUACUCCCAGUGAUGGGACAUUUAGGAUCAACAACCUGAGCAGGACUGAUGGAGGUGAAUACAGUCUCAUAAUCUCUUAUUCAAAUGGACGCACAUCAAAGCCACAGACUCUACAGUUGAUCAUUCAAGGCCUUUUCAUCAACUGCACCUUAACUAAUGGGACAAACAUAUCAGAGUGGGUGCUUGAAGCCAGUGACAUUCAGUGUAUUGAGCCAACCACGAGUAAAGACACUACUGUGGGUGUGGAAACCUACUGUGAUGGCAGAAAGAAUAAUGGAGCUCAGUGUUAUGGAGCUUUGGGAGGAACUGUGGUCCUCCAGCUGAUGGACAGUGCCUCAGAAAUAUUUAGAUACGAAUGGUUAAAGAACAAAACAUCAAUACUCAGAGGGGGUAAGAACAGGGCAGUGUUUAUUCUGAUACCAGACAGAUCUUCAUUUACUCCCACUGAUGGAACAUUUAGGAUCAACAACCUGAGCAGGACUGAUGGAGGUGAAUAUACUCUCAUGAUCUCUGAUUCAAAUGGAAGCAUAUCAGUGCCACAGACUCUACAGUUGAUCAUUCAAGGUAAAAAAUAAUUUUGUCUACAGGGAAAUUUACUAAUAUUCAAAGAAAUACAUGUUAUAUUUUAUUGCCAAAACUAUAUAUAUCUACUGUAUAUAAUGACAAAGAUU